rnacentral:rRNA from 1 species
AUUGAACGCUGGCGGCAGGCUUAACACAUGCAAGUCGAGCGGGGGAAGUUGCUUCGGUAAUUGACCUAGCGGCGGACGGGUGAGUAAUACUUAGGAAUCUGCCUAUUAAUGGGGGACAACAUCUCGAAAGGGAUGCUAAUACCGCAUACGCCCUACGGGGGAAAGCAGGGGAUCACUUGUGACCUUGCGUUAAUAGAUGAGCCCAAGUCGGAUUAGCUAGUUGGUGGGGUAAAGGCCUACCAAGGCGACGAUCUGUAGCGGGUCUGAGAGGAUGAUCCGCCACACUGGGACUGAGACACGGCCCAGACUCCUACGGGAGGCAGCAGUGGGGAAUAUUGGACAAUGGGCGGAAGCCUGAUCCAGCCAUGCCGCGUGUGUGAAGAAGGCCUUUUGGUUGUAAAGCACUUUAAGCGAGGAGGAGGCUACCUGGAUUAAUACUCUAGGAUAGUGGACGUUACUCGCAGAAUAAGCACCGGCUAACUCUGUGCCAGCCGCCGCGGUAAAAC